rnacentral:rRNA from 1 species
GAUGAACGCUGGCGGCGUGCCUCAAACAUGCAAGUCGAGCGGGGCUAUGUAAUAUCGCAAGGUAGAACAUAGCCUAGCGGCGAACGGGUGAGUAACACGUGGGUAACCUGCCUGGAAGACAGGGAUAACGAUUCGAAAGGGUCGCUAAUACCUGAUAAUAUCCUUUCACCGCAUGGUGAUAGGAAGAAAGGGGAAACCCGCUUUCAGAUGGGCCCGCGUCCCAUCAGCUAGUUGGUAAGGUAAAGGCUUACCAAGGCGACGACGGGUAGCCGGUCUGAGAGGAUGUACGGCCACACUGGGACUGAGAUACGGCCCAGACUCCUACGGGAGGCAGCAGUUGGGAAUCUUCCGCAAUGGGCGCAAGCCUGACGGAGCAACGCCGCGUGGGUGAAGAAGGCCUCGGUUGUAAGCCUGUCUUAUGGUAAGAGUACAGUGACGGUACCGAUAGGAGGAAGACCACGGCUAACUAACGUGCCAGCAGCCGCGGUAAGAGUAGUACGA